UGCACUUUAAUUUUUUUAUAAUAACAACUCAGUAGGAUUGUUCCAAUCCAGCUGGAGAAAGAAGCUUCAGGAGCCUUGCAGAACCAAGUGUCCUCUACAGCUCACCAGGAAGGACUGUAAGGACUCUUCUCAAGUUACAGACUGCAAGGUAUUGCUGGAUCCAGGAGAGGAUGUUUGCAGAGUCUGUAACUUUGCACAUUUCCAUUCUGCCUGAGCCUCCCUUCAGCUCUCUGCGGUUGAGAAGUCAAGAAAAAAGCUGCUGUUGGCAGAAUUUGCUCUUGUGCUGAGAAUUGGCCUGAGGAGCUCAAGGGUGUGUUUUGGUGAGGUUUGCUUCAGACAGAGGCUUGAAAGCAGCUUUUCUCACACCCUGAUGACAACUGGAUGCACCUUACUCUCCCUUAGACCUUUAGAAGUAUUCAGGCUUGUGUGUUUCUGUACAAUCCCUUACAACCUAACAGGAAAGACGAGGGUGAAGUUAUAUGAUACAGUUGAGCUGACCUAACAUCUUGCCCUGCUGUUGAAAGAGGCAGUUCUGCUCCUCCCCACUUCUCACUCCACAGUAUCAUGAUUAUCCCAUUCUCAACCUCCAUUUACUCAGUUUGAUCAUCCUAAUCAGUCUCCUUUAUGGGAUUCUCAGGCAGGACUGAGAAAUUUAGGGUUAUGUCUGACCCCUGAAGUCUGUCUGGUUUGAGCCAGUGACAAUUUUCAAGCAGUUCCCCCAGCUCAUUCUUGCAAGACAAUCUCUUCAUAUGUCUGCAGUGUCAGAUAUUGGAUUUAUUCUGAAAAAAUCCCUACAGUGUUCUGUCCUUUAGAGGAAGAGCAAGCUCCUUGGACUGAGGGUGUGAAGAGCAAAAGCUCACACAAACAGAGAACAGAACAGCUGCUUUCUUUAAAGAUGUGCCCCACAACUGAAAACCCCAGCUGUAAUUCUGAUAUGCAGAGGAGGAAGGUGACAGGGAACAGGAGGAACCAAUGGAUCCUGCCAACAGGAUCCCACCUCAUGAAGGACCCAAAAUGGCUCCAGCAAAAGAUGUAGCCUUGACCAGCUUCUACCAGGCUUCCCUCCUUGUGCCACAGCUUGGAAAGGACUGUGUGUGAGACUGGUGACAUCUACACCAAAAGGGAGCUUCCUUUCCAUGUCUUGGAAAUCAAAAAAUUGCCAUAAGAGGAUUUAUGAGAGAAGAAUGUCCAUAAAGCCUGAUUUGUGAAGUGUUAAAAUGAUGUCCUGGAAAGCCACACAAUGCCAAG